rnacentral:tRNA from 1 species
UGGCUUAGUUGGUUAAAGCACCGGUCUAGCGAAUACGGAGUUGUGGGUUCGAAUCCCAC